rnacentral:rRNA from 1 species
ACGGAAGGCAGCAGUGGGGAAUAUUGCACAAUGGGCGAAAGCCUGAUGCAGCGACGCCGCGUGAGCGAAGAAGUAUUUCGGUAUGUAAAGCUCUAUCAGCAGGGAAGAUAAUGACGGUACCUGACUAAGAAGCACCGGCUAAAUACGUGCCAGCAGCCGCGGUAAUACGUAUGGUGCAAGCGUUAUCCGGAUUUACUGGGUGUAAAGGGAGUGUAGGCGGUUUUACAAGUCUGAUGUGAAAGCCCGGGGCUCAACUCCGGUAUUGCAUUGGAAACUGUAGAACUAGAGUGUCGGAGGGGUAAGUGGAAUUCCUAGUGUAGCGGUGAAAUGCGUAGAUAUUAGGAGGAACACCAGUGGCGAAGGCGGCUUACUGGACGAUUACUGACGCUGAGGCUCGAAAGCGUGGGGAGCAAACAGGAUUAGAUACCCUGGUA